rnacentral:lncRNA from 1 species
AUGUGUGAUGAUUUGUGGGAUGCCAGUCAUUUCUUCCAUGUCUGGAUGCCUUCUUCUUCAAGACUCAGAUUCUUCCACAUCUCUAGAAGGAAGAGUCCAAGUUUCCAUGAGUUGGGGGAAUGGGGACAGAUGGAGAAUGUACUGUUUCCACUGAAUUCUAGAACUGAUGGGACAGAUAUGCCAUUGGACCCACUAAAUACAGAGAACUGGUGUGAAGGAAUGAGAACAACAAAGCAUAAAAGAAGAGAAGACCAGAGAAGUGGAGACCUGGGGUCCCAGAGAUGGAGAGGGAAUUCCCGGAGGCCGCAGAAAACUUGA